UCCACAUUUAAAAUGUGACAAUUUAAGCACCAUUUGUUUCGAAUUCAAAAUAAUUGUACAGCUCCCAGAAUAAAUACGCUCACAUGUUACAAUUAUUAUAAAACCAUACAAAUACAUCAAACCAUGUUGCAAAAUAAUCACAUUGACUAGAUUAAAAUUCGUUAUCAACAAACAUCGUACAUUUUGCACAUGUGAAAUAUUAAUGAAAGCUUGUAAAAUAACAAAAAUAAUUGGUCCUUUAAAAAUAAAAAACAACCUGUCACAUUUAUGAAAACGGUUACCAUAACAACUAUAGUAAGAAAACAAAAAGUGACAUUUUGACUUGAAAUUAAAUUCACUACUACACAAAUCUGUCACAUUGUGAAAACCCCCCAUUUGAAAAUCUUUUAAAUUAAAAAAUCAGAAUCUUCAUGAUCUUAUACUUUAUUAAAGGCCAUUGAACAGGUUGUAAAAAUUCACUGCAAUCAUUGAUAACAAGAGGUUUGCAUCAAUAUACAUUGAAAAGUUAAAAAAAAAAUCACUAGAACAUGUCCAAAUUGAAAUUUGAAAAAGGAUUUAUUUAGCUUCAUGUGUACAUUUGAUUAUUACACUUUUGUAAAUAUGAGGAUUUUAUCAAAAUUUACAAAGCCCAUCCAAAUCUUCCGCCAAGGAACAAAUAUAAUGAAAAGUUUUCUAACAUUGAAUGUCUUUCCAAAAAAAUAAAAUAAAAAUUGAAAAUAAAUGUAUAUAAAUUGUUUCUCGUUAUUGUGUUUUAAUGAAUUAUAAUAAUAAAAAACACAUUGUAAUAAAAGACUGCUUCUUAACAUUCUGAAACUUUGAAAGUCGUCAGAAACAUGCUUAAUCUGGUGUUACUCUUUUAAAGAAUAUAAACAUGACAAAAAAUUUUUCAAAACAAAAACAUGAGAAAGAAAACAUAUACAUGUAGUUUAGAUAAUUUAAUUAUCUUAAACCAUGUUUAUAUCCUUACUCAUGGAUUACCUGUACCUGGAACAUGGAAGAACUAAAUAUGAAACAACAACUUCACGAACUUCACAAUAACAUCCAAACUCAAACAUAACACUGCAAACAAAACAUGAAAACAAUCCAAAGUACACACUUACAAAUAAAACAAAAUAAUAAAAAACUUUGGAAUAAAUUAUAAGUCAGACUUGUGCUAGAAUACAAUUUCAAACAUUGUAGACUGCAAACAAAAUUUGAAUAUGGUAUUUCUCAUCACACAUCAUGCACAUGUACCGUAUUGUGUUCCCUGCAUAAUUUGGUCAUUAUUUUUCUAUAUCACCACAUGUGAACAAAUAGGGGGAUUAGAAGGGUCGAAUGUACAUCCAUAUAUUGUUACUUAUUUCUCUGUGUAACAGAAAAUAAAAUUUGUCUUGUACAAUGUAGAAAGAUGAUUUUUACAAGUAUUAUCUAAUUGGUACAUGUAAAUAUGUAUAAAUAUAUGUUUAUAGAAGUUAAAGCUGAAAACCAUUAAGAGAACUAGGUGAAAUUUUCAUAUAUUUGGAAGUUACAGUAUCAAACCAGUAUUUCUAUAAACAAUGAUUACUUUCAUGUACAUCUUACAAAGUGUGUUCAAACUGUUCACCAAAUUGUUCUCUCUCGUACAAAGUCAUAAGUUUUACUUAUUUUUGCACAAGAUAAGAUUCUUUUAUUCCUAUAUAAAUACAUUGCAUGUCUAUGUCAUGUGUAUUACUAGAAUAUAAUAAUUUAAAAUAAAUACUUGUAUUUCCUUGAAAAUCAAAUGUUUUCAAAUGAAACCAUACUAUAAUAAAAUAAGUAAAAUUCAUUCCACAAAAAAUGGCAUCCCCAUAUACACUCAUUUGUGUGUGAUCAAUUUAACAGUGUUGAUCUACCUUGAAUAUAAAAUAAAUUGUAUACUGAUGUAUAACAAGUUUAGCUGAGUUAUCUAUAUUACUACAUCCUGAUGUAAUACAUUGGACAUAUUGUAGAUCCUUAUUAUUGUAUCAUGUCUACACUCUUAACGGCUGCUAGACAGAGUUAUCUAUCUUACUACAUCCUGAUGUAAUACAUUGGACAUAUUGUAAAUCCUUAUUAUUGUAUCAUGUCUACACUCUUAACGGCUGCUAGACAGCAAUGAGGGUCACAAACAAUAUACAACAUGUAAUGCAAACUUCAUAUUUAAAUUUUCAAUGUAGUCUAGAUGUUAGAUAAUAAGUAUAUAUGCAUGUACCUUAUACAUGUAUAUUACAUGUGAUUUGAUGUUAUUUCAUAUUUAACCAUGAAUCAGUUAUAACUCAAGCUGCAAUGCAAUAAUUUCAGGGAAACUUAAAUGUCUGUGUUUUUUACCCUUUCACUAUCCUACAUGUACACAGUAUAACUCAAAUUGUAGGGUGGAGGGGGGGUGGGAUACCUUUCAUUACGAUGUAAGCAUUUUAAAUAAUCUGUUUACAAACUUGUAAUAGUAUGAGUUCAAAGUGAAUCUUCUUAUUUUUAUAAUUUUGUACAAAAAUGGCAUAAAGAGAAAAAUAUAUAGAAAUUAUAAUUCUUAUUAGGUGAUUUGCAUUCAAUAUUUUUUUCAGUCAAUUCUAUAACAGUAAACCUUUAGCAUGAUAAGCAAAAUAUGUCUUUGGAACAAUACAACCAGA
rnacentral:lncRNA from 1 species